GGCAAUCCCCUCAGGUCUUCCUUCGCUGUGUGGAAGCUUUGUUCUUUCGCUCUUUGCAGGAACUCUUGCUGCUGCUCGCUCUUUGGGUCCACGCUGCCUUUAGGAGCUGUAACACUCACGGCGAAGGUCCGCAGCUUCACUCCUGAGCCAGCGAGACCACGAGCCCACCGGGAGGAAAGAACAACUCCAGACGCGCCGCCUUAAGAGCUGUAACACUCACCGUGAAGGUCCGCAGCUUCACUCCUGAGCCGGCGAGACCACGAACCCACCAGAAGGAAGAAACUCCAAAGACGUUCAAACAUCAGAAGGAACAAACUCCGGACACGCCACCUUUAAGAACUGUAACACUCACCGCGAGGGUCCAUGGCUUCAUUCUUGAAGUCAGUGAGAUCAAGAACACACCAAUUCUGGACCCAGUAUCUCCCCAUACCCUAACUCCUUUCCCAAAGUAGGCAGAAAAACAGCCCUGUUGUUCCGGUGGAAGCCUUAGCUCUGUAUUCCUUUUAGACUGUAUUUCAAAACGCAUUAUUAGAGCCCCAAAGUCACCUGGUGAAAGAAUGUGAGAGCUGGAAGUGGCCUCAAAAUCCAGUUGAACCCUCUUAUUUCAUAUGUUUGGAAACUGAGCACUAGAAAAGUAUGUGGUUUUCCCCUCUUGGUCCAAGAUGACUGCUGGAGCUCCUGCCUACUCCAGGAUGGCAGGAAGAAGGAAGGAAAGAAAAAGGCACACCUCUCCACUUUUAAGUAGCUUUGCUAGAACUCUCACAAAACACUUGUAUUACAUCUCAUCAGACUAUAAAUUCAAAGAAGACCAGGAAAUGUAGCUAUUAUCUGGACAACACUGGCCCAGCUAAAACUCAGAUUUCUGUUCCUACUGGAGAAGAAAAGACUAGAUAUUGGGAGGUAACUGGAAGUUUCUCCUGAGCAGGAUUUAGGUAUUAUACAAAACAACACGUUACUCUCUUGAUAUCUGUUUCCCUCAAUAUUUUAAAGCAAAUCUACUUAAAGCAGAGACCAAGUUUUUAUAGUGAAUGGUAAGGGGGAAGUUUUGAGUGGAAUUUUACCAUGAAAAAUGAUACUAAAAUUGUGAAAGCAUAUUUUA
rnacentral:lncRNA from 1 species